rnacentral:rRNA from 1 species
AGUGAACGCUGGCGGUAGGCCUAACACAUGCAAGUCGAACGGCAGCACAGUAAGAGCUUGCUCUUACGGGUGGCGAGUGGCGGACGGGUGAGGAAUACAUCGGAAUCUACUUUUUCGUGGGGGGUAACGUAGGGAAACUUACGCUAAUACCGCAUACGACCUACGGGUGAAAGCAGGGGAUCUUCGGACCUUGCGCGAUUGAAUGAGCCGAUGUCGGAUUAGCUAGUUGGCGGGGUAAAGGCCCACCAAGGCGACGAUCCGUAGCUGGUCUGAGAGGAUGAUCAGCCACACUGGAACUGAGACACGGUCCAGACUCCUACGGGAGGCAGCAGUGGGGAAUAUUGGACAAUGGGCGCAAGCCUGAUCCAGCCAUACCGCGUGGGUGAAGAAGGCCCUCGGGUUGUAAAGCCCUUUUGUUGGGAAAGAAAAGCAGCAGGUUAAUACCCCGCUGUUCUGACGGUACCCAAAGAAUAAGCACCGGCUAACUUCGUG